GAUGAAGAACGUAGCGAAAUGCGAUAAGUAAUGUGAAUUGCUGAAUUCAGUGAAUCAUCGAAUCUUUGAACGCACAUUGCGCCCAUUAGUAUUCUAGUGGGCAUGCCUGUUCGAGCGUCAUUAAGUCCACUUAAGCCCUGCUUAGUGUUGGGAGACUGCUCCAGCGGUGCUACCCUGUAGCUACCCUGCAGCUCCUCAAAGACAGCGGCGGAGUUGUGGUAUCCUCUGAGCUUAGUAACUUGUUCUAGCUUUCGAGUACACCACUUCCCCUGCCGUAAAACCCUUAAUUUUUAAUGGUUGACCUCGGAUCAGGUAGGAAUACCCGCUGAACUUAAGCAUAUCAAUAAGCGGAGGA
rnacentral:misc_RNA from 1 species